GCGGGCGUGGCGAAAUUGGCAGACGCACCAGAUUUAGGUUCUGGCGCCGUGAGGCGUGGGGGUUCAAGUCCCUCCGCCCGCACCA
rnacentral:tRNA from 1 species